ACGUUAGUUAAUGGAUACAACAAAAGAAUUUGUAGUAAUUGAAUGAAUAUAAGGUGGGUCUAUGGGUACGAAUGGUAAAUUGACGAUCUUAUAUUAUAAGCCAGAGAACAUUUGAGACUGUUACACGCAUAUAUCGAGGGCUAUCCUUCUUAGAAUAUCACUCUACUUUAUUCGGAUAACUCAAGUUUUCAAGUCAAAAGAAAGCAUCUAGAAAAUGAUUGUUCUUAGUUACAUACUUUUGUCGAAAAGCUGAAACUGUCACAAAUCUUCUGAUUUUUUGUGAAAAAAUCUAAUUUCUAUAAGAAAAAAACAAGGGACCAACCGGAUUUGAACCAGUGACCUGGGGAUCUGCAAUCCCUCACUCUAACCACUGAGCUAUGACCCCUUGCGACAAUUGCAAGGCAAAAAAUGAAUUAUAAGAUCUUUUUACGAUUUUAUUAAGUUGAGCAAUUAGAAAUCAAAGUUUCCGCUAAGGCUCGAAAGAGAAUCUUGCCAAGCUUUGAAUAUAUUUAUAAAGGUUGCUUUAAAUAGCGCGAACGCAACUAUCUGAACAAUUUUUAACGGAAACCGCUUCAGCAGUAAGAAGAAAAUAUUUCUAUUUUAGCAUUCAAAAUGCAGUUACUAAGUAUGAUUGAUUUCAAGGCUUAUUAUAAACCGGCAUUUUACAAUGUACUUAGUAAUUUAUGGAGAUGAGAACUCCUUAAAAUAUAGCUUCGUGAUCCUUCAAAUCCUAUCCAACUCAAUUUACUUGAAAAAUUUGAAAUUUCCGGCGCUCGUUAAUUAUCAAACUGAAAAACCAGCUAAAAGAAUGCGGGCAUUAUUCACCGAAUAGCCUCAAAGUAUCUAACGAUAUCGAUAAGUUAUCUACAGGUGCAAAACUUCCACUGUUAUAAUUGUAACUUUUUCAAGCGGGCUUCGGUUAACAGAAUUUUAUAAACAUGUACAAAUUGCUCAUUUCCUAAGCAAUCCAGAAUUUUGCCUUCACCGACAAAUUACUGAUGAGGAUCACGGCGAAAUGGCAAACUUGAAAAAUGUAAAUUGCAUCUUGCUUCGAAAGCUAUUUCACGCUAAAUUAAUAAUUUUAUAGUAAAAGAAUAAACAAUGCUGAUCUCAAAAUUUGUAUACAUUUGAUAAAAAGGCAUAAUUUUGUUGGGUUCGAUGCUUAGUAAUAAAAUUAUAGUUCGAGAAUAUAUGGUUACUAUAUGGCUAGAGAAAAAUGAUAUUUUUUGAU